rnacentral:rRNA from 1 species
AGAUUGAACGCUGGCGGCAUGCCUUACACAUGCAAGUCGAACGGCAGCACGGGAGCAAUCCUGGUGGCGAGUGGCGAACGGGUGAGUAAUACAUCGGAACGUGCCCAAUCGUGGGGGAUAACGCAGCGAAAGCUGUGCUAAUACCGCAUAAGAUCUACGGAUGAAAGCAGGGGAUCGCAAGACCUUGCGCGAAUGGAGCGGCCGAUGGCAGAUUAGGUAGUUGGUGAGGUAAAGGCUCACCAAG